rnacentral:tRNA from 1 species
UUGCCUAUAGCUCAGCUGGUUAGAGCGCACGCCUGAUAAGCGUGAGGUCGGUGGUUCGAGUCCACUUAGGCCCACCA